rnacentral:tRNA from 1 species
GACCGCGUAGCUCAGUUGGCAGAGCAUUGGGCUAGUAUUCCAAAGGUCGUAGGUUCGAAUCCCACCGUGGUC